GAUGAACGCUGGCGGCGUGCCUAAUACAUGCAAGUCGAACGAGUGGCGGACGGGUGAGUAAUGUCUGGGAAACUGCCCGAGGGUGGGGGAUAACUACUGGAAACGGUAGCUAAUACCGCAUACCAUCGGAUGUGCCCAGAUGGGAUUAGCUAGUAGGUGGGGUAACGGGUCACCUAGGCGACGCUCCCUAGCUGGUCUGAGAGGAUGACCAGCUACCCUGGAACGUAGACACGGUCCAGACUCCUACGGUAGGCAGCAGUGGGGAAGAGUGCACACUGGGCUCAAGCCUGAUGCAGACAUGCCGCGUGUAUGAAGAAGGCCUUCGGGUUGUAAAGUACUUUCAGCGAGAUGGCGUUACUCGCAGAAGAAGCACCGGCUAACUCCGUGCCAGCAGCCGCGGUAAUAC
rnacentral:rRNA from 1 species